AGGUUGUAACGGGUUUCCUGCAGCCAAAGAGCCAUGAGUCACAGCAGCUGGCUCAAGGCUGCGAGGGGAAGUAAAACACUAAAUCUAAGGACCACUCUAUUCACCCUACAGUGACUGCUCUUUUUCCCUCCUGCCACGGUCCAGGGUAGGAGAUACUUCUCCAGGCUCUCACUUAUGGGGGCUUUCCUGCUCGCUACAUCACUGAAAUGGAAUCUCCUAGUGGCCCUUCUCCCUCUACAGCUCUGGUGUUACACUGAAAAACUAGAAGUUUCAAAACAGACAAGGGAAAAAGAGAAACAUCAGAAAGUCUGAUUAAAGUAGAAGCAUCAUAUUUCAUAUUUCUAUCAACGUAUCCACUGUGCUUGGACUCUGUAAUAGUCACCGGCAGGAAAACCCAAGGGAAUGACUACUAUGACAUCUGAUGGUGAGACGGCGGCGUUGGUUGAGGGGAGUGAAUGGGUUAUAUCUAUUGAAAAUCUACUAUGGGUUUUUCUUCUUUUUUCUCUGAUUAUCACAGAAGAGGUUACUAAGUUUCAGAAAGAGGCAGGAAUUAGUGCUUGGAGACCCAAACAUCCUAGAAGGACCCUGGAGAUCCUUUGUGAAGUUGAGAAGGAGGGAGAUUAUUGUUUAAGGUAGCUUCUGAGUUGUGCGCCAGGCAUUGGAAACUAAGCCAAGGACACAGCCAGCCAGUGAGCAAGGCCUGCUCCAGAUCAUUCCGGGGAGUUCUGCUCUAGUUUAGAGGGUUGUUCCAGGUUCCCUCAGUGGUGAUUUUGGAGGCUUCAAAGGACUUCCCAGUAGAGAUGAGCAAAGAGAGGUCAUCCCCAUUCCCUUGAAACUGAUUCAGCCACGCCUUUCAUGUCAACCUUCUGCACCAGUUGAGCAAAGCAGUAAUCACACCCAUUCAAGUCUUCUAAAGGGAAAGAAAUCACCAUCACUUGUCCUUAUUCUGUUGCACUGGAAAUAGAUUUGUCAGAUAAAAUAUAGGAUACCCAGUUAAAUUUGAAUUUCAGAUAAAUGAUAAAACUUUUUUGGAAUAAGUAUGUCCCACAUGUUGCAUGGGACACACAAACUUGAUCUGAAAUUCAAAUGUGACCAGAUGUCCUGUACUUUUAUUUGCCAAAUCUGACAAUUCCUUCCACAAGUCACUAGAAACAUCUCAUAAUUGUGCCCCCCUGCAGGUGGUAGGAGGUACCAUGUCAUAGCACAACCUGCAAAAAGUGGUUAAUGAUAGAACAUGGCACUGAGGGGUAGUGAGCCUCUUGUCACAGAGAGCUUACCUGGCUGUUUUCAUACCUUCCCUGCACUUUUAAUCCCUCACUCCUCAGCUCCUAGGUAUAAGGAGCAUGAACCCUGAGGGAGGUUGCUUGGAUAUGAAUGCUGGUUAGCUGAUGGCCUUACAUUAAGUAAUAUAACCUCUCUGUGUUUUCUAGUUUGCUCAUCUGUAAAAUGGGGGCAAGAGUAGCAAUUACCUUGUAAAGUUGUUCUGAAGCUUCAAAGUGCUUAGUUCAGUGCUUGGCCCAUGGGGAAGGAAGAAAAGAUAUUAAUUAUUACUGUUAUUAUUCCCUGGUACCUACAUACAAAAGGAGUUGGGCUAUUGAGAAUCAUGUGAUCAUGUCAAAGCUGGGGCAGAAUUUAAGGUCUCAGAAGCCAUUGCUGAACCACUGCCACUCAGAGAAGAAAAAUAUUUUGGGAGCAUUUAGAGGAACUCUCUUGUUUUAGAAAUGAAAACUCAGGCCAGAAAGGCCAAAUGGUUCGUUCCAAACUUCACAGGUGGUUGAGAAUAAGAUCUUGGGGUAGAACGGCAGAUACAGAUAAAAUAACCCAAAGGAAUGGUGGAGAGCCUUUUGCUAGGACUCAGUAAUUUAAAUCACAGAAUUACAGGAUUUUAGAGCUACCAGAAGUAGGCAAGAGAGAAUUUGCCCCAGGGCCGGCCUAAAGCAAGACACAGACAUAGGAGUCAAAUGUUAUUGGGGUUCUAGUCCCAGUUCUGCCCUGGUGUUUCUUACACAUCUUUUGGCAAGUCCUUACCUUCCCUAGCCUUCAGUUUCCCAUCUGUACAACGGAGAUAAUCAUCUGAGCUCUGUCUGCUUCCUCUGGCUAUUGCGAAAGCUUUGGAAGGAAUGACACCUCGGCUGCCUCCCAGGAACUAACCAUCCCACUCUGCCCUUGUGGCCUCUCCCCAGCUUGUCAGAUUGCUGCCUUCCUUCACGUCCUUGGCUUCCAGCCCUCACAGGCAUGGGAUAUCUGGGCCCCAACUGACUGAUGACCAGCAGAUUCCAGUAUGUGGGGUGAGGGUGGGGAAGGUUCAUUCUUGCUUGACUGGCCUGCAUUGCCCAUCAGCCUAGAUUCAAGCCACGCAAAGAAGGCCUCUGAGCUCAGCUCUCAACUGAUGCUUUUUGAAUUGAGCAGAGUGACCUUGCUGAAAAGUAAGUCUGAUCAUGACACUCACCAACUUAACCCUUGCCUACAGGUGUUAACCUGGUCCCCCAUCUGCGUUACCACUUAUUAUCUCUCACUCAGACUAUUAGACCUCAGCUUUUCUGUGCCCACUACCCCUGCUCAAAUCCAUUAUUUGCAUAGUCACCAAGAGAGCCGUCUAAAAUAAAAAUCCAAUGAGACUGCCUCCCCUCUUAAAACCCAUUAUUCACUGCAGGGAUUCUUUUCUUGUGUUUUCUUUUUUGAAACAGAGUCUCAUGGUGUUGCCCAGGCUGAAUACAAUCGUGCAAUCAUGACUCUCUGCAGCCUUGACAUCCUGGGCUCUUCAAGCAAUCCUCCUGCCUCAGCCUCCCAAAUAGCUGAGACUACAGGCACCCACCACCACAUCACACUCUACAAAAAAUUUCUGUUUUUUUGUAGAAAUGGGGUCUUGCUAUAUUGCCCAGGGUGGUCUCAAACUCCUGGCUUCAAGUAAUCCUCCUGCCUUGGCCUCCCAAGGUGCUGGGAUUACAGGUGUGAGCCACCACACCUGACCAACUGCAGGGAUUCUUUAUUUGAAGAUCAUGGAUAGGUUUCAGGAAAUAUGUGAACACCCUGAAAUGUAUACCCUAGUUCUGUUUGUGUAAGUAUUAACUUUGAUCAGAUUUUCAGAGAGGUCUGUGACCAACCUGCUGCACUAAAAAAUGUUUACAAACCACUGCUCCACAGGAUAAAGUUCAAACCUCUCAGUCUAAAGGAAAUGCAAAGCCAUUCAUGACACAGUUUUUACAUACACCAUCUUCAUUUUGGAUUUCUCAGCCCCAAUUGCUCAAACAUAUCUUGCCAUUUCUUAUCUCCUUGCCUUUGCUCAAGCUGUGUCCUCUGUCUUGAAGAUCCCCUUUUUCUCAUUCUUUCCAGGGACCUCCCUCCCUUGGUUAAGUCCCAGUUAACUAGUAUAACUUCAUUCAAGAGUUUCUUCUUCCAGGAGCUUCCCAAUAUGAUUUGGCUGUGGGCCCCACCCAAAUCUCAUGUUGAAUUGUGAUCCCCAGAGUUGGAGGUAGACGUGGUGGGAGAUGGUUGGAUCAUGGGGGUGGUUUCUAAUGGUUUAACACUGUCUCCUAGUGUUGUUUUGUGACAGAGUUCUCACAAGAUCUGGUUGUUUGAAAGUGUGUAACACCUCCUACUUCGUGCACUUUCUCUUUUUCCUGCUCCACCAUGUGAAGAUGUGCCUGCUUCUCCUUCACCUUCUGCCAUAAUUGAAUGUUUCCUGAGGCCUCCCCAGCCAUGCUUCCUGUAUAGCCUGCAGAACGGUGAGCCAAUUAAACCUAUUUUCUUUAUAAAUUACCCAGUCUCAAGUAUUUCUUUAUAGCAAUGUGAGAAUGAACUAAUACACUUCCUCUGACCCUCUCCUCCACACCCAUGCUGGGGAGAUGUUCUUCCCUGGGAUCCCACAAUGGACAUCCAUCUGGCUCUCUAGAAUUGCACUGUUCACGUAGUGCUCACAGAGAUGAAAGCUCUUUGAGAACAAGACCACACAUUAUCGCUUUCUUCCUCUCCUUUUCUCAAGCAGUGGUUCUUGGGGACUGCAGCAUCUCACCUUCAUAGAAACUCAACACUCAGACCUCACCCCAGACCUACUGAAACAGAAACUCUGAGGUUGGGGCCAGUGAGCUGUGCUUUAACAAGCCCUGCAGGUGAUCCUGAUGCCCGCUGAAGCCUGGGAACCAUAGUCCUGAAAAAACGUCCCUGGCUCUUGUCUGUUCUGUUGUGAUAGCUCCUAACUGGGCUUCCUGCUUCCUCCUCUGUCACCUUCCAAUCUAUUCUUCAUCCUAGAGCCAGAAUUAUCUUUCUACAACAUGGAAGGAAGGGCCCUCCUCAAGAGCCUUCAGUGGCUUCCAUUUGCACCUAUAAUUAAAUCCUGAUCCCUCACCAUGACCUACAGGACCCUGUGUGACUUGGCCCUGCAUCUCUCCUAUGCUGACCCCCUACCACCAGGCACGAUGGUCUGCUUUCAGCUUCUCAGGUCAACCAUCCCUUCUUGCCUCAGGCCAUGUGCUGGGAUGGGGAGAGGAAUAUGGGUGAGUCAUCUUCUCCAUCCUUGAGGAGGUAUAGUCAACUAGGGGAGACAGAUAUGGACACAAAUAGACAUGCAGUUCAUAGAAAGCAAAGUAGCAGGGCUGUGCAUAUGGUACAGAAGCAGCAAAGACUCAUUCUGUUUAGGGACUUUUGUUUUGCAGUGAUUUCCAACUCUGCUUCUAAAGUUUGAAGGUGUAGUUUUUCUUAUUCGAACAUUCCAAUACUAGGCAUUCCAUUGCCCUGAGCCUCAGUCCUGCUACUGCCAUUCAGAAGCUAUGCCCACCAUGCAGUGGCAUUGGAGGGAGUACACGAGGAUAUACAUCAAACGUGCCAAGCGGAGGGCAGGGUCUCUGCAGGGAUCAGGGACUCCCAUGUUUCUGGAGCAGAUUCAAGUUUUGAUGUUGUGGGGACUUACCCUUCCUGAGCUUCAGUGGGAAACUAAGUAUCCCCUGAAAAAACUGAGGUGUUAAGGAGGAGGCUUGAGGUUGGGCCUACAGCAAAAGAAAAGUUCCCCUCCACUUUAAGAAAUCUCCCUCCUGUGGGUGUGGUAGUGAAUGUGAAAGUAGAAUCUGCCUCCUGGCCCCUGCACUUACCAGAAGGGGCAGUGGUACUUGCAAAGGAGUUACAGAAAGAGCAGCAGCUGAACAGGAACUGGGGCCACCGGUUCUGGGAAGCUGGGGCUUUGGGGGCAGCACCUGGCAGACCCCAGUGUUUACAAACUUCAGGAGCACCUGAACCCCAGCCUGUGUUAGGCACAGAGCAAAUUGUGGUGAGCUACUGGCACAAGUCCUCUGGAGCCAGAAAGUCAGACAGAAAGCCAGGAUAACUCCUCUAGGGCCCAGGGCUCACAGUUCCCUGGACAAACAGCCUCACUGUGGCCUCUGGGAAAAGGUGGGAGGCAGAGCAGGCUGGUGGGUUAGAUAUUCAUUCAUUCAUUCCCAAUUUCCUCAUCUGUGAAAUGGGGAAAGAAAUUCCUUCCAUGUCUACUUGGAUUGUAUAUAAUGGGGAAGGGUAGAGAACGGGUUGCUAUGGAGACCAAAUGAGAUAAUACAUUCAGUUAUUCAUUUAAUAUACACUAAGCACCUGCUACGAUAAAAAUAAUAAUGGGCACUUAUUGAGUACCUAGUGUACGCCAGGCACUAUGCUAACUACUUUAAUCCUCACAAUCAUCCUCCAAGGUAGCUGCCCUGAUUUCCAUUUACAGAUGAGGAAACUGAGGCUCAGAGAGAUGACUUGCCCAGAUCACACAGCUAGUCAGUGGUGGAUCUGGGAUUUGAGAGCCACAGUGUUAAAUGGGGCUCAAGUCUCAGCUCCUGCACUAGAGUCAGGGAUCUGCAAGGUCAGGAAUUAUCAUUUACCAAUCUCUGAAUCUUCAGUGCUUAGGCCAUGGCCUAGCACAUACUAGCUGCUCACUAAAUGUGGGUAGGCCUCUUGCAUAUCUACAAGACAAGGUGAGAUGAAGCAGUCUGGUGGGGAAGUCAGGGAAGCAAACCAGCAGCAGGUGAUGUAACAGGAUCUAUAGCAGAUGUGCCUUCAGAGAGCUCCCUGAGGUUUGUGCUGGGUCACACUGUGUACCAAUCAGGGUCCCAACAGUCUGACAGCUCCCAGGAAAUAGCAGAUUUCAAGGAAGGAUUAUAUGCAAAGGUGCAGAUAUAGAAGAAUCACAAAAGAGAGAGUAGGCACUUAAU